AAGCAAAGUCAGGAAUGAAGAAAGCAUUCAUUGACAAGUUCACAGCUUCCAAAUAUGCCACUUGAGAAAUGCACAUUGCUUCAGUUAAGACCUUACAUGAAAACCCCUUGGCGAUUCCUUGUUGGAUUUUUGUUCGGUGCUUGCGUUGCCUCUUUUAACUGGCUGCCAAAACCACACCAACGUCCUCCCUUUACGGACGAAAAUCAAUAAUGGUGCUAUAUUUGUGUAGGGAAAGCACCUUGUUUUCCUUGAUCUCAAGUGGGUUUGUAAGGAAGUGCUCUGUGAAUAUGGCAUUGAAGAAGAGGGCCGAAUUGGAUGAUUAUGUGUUCUGUGGAUCUUAAGGGAGCAGAUUAGGCGUUGAGGGGAUGUACGAGUGUCGUAGGUUUUGUGAAGAUUUUAGGAGAGUGAUUUGAGAGCCUGGUCUAAAAUGUAGCGGGAAUGAGGGUGGG
rnacentral:misc_RNA from 1 species